rnacentral:rRNA from 1 species
UGGGGAAUAUUGGACAGUGGGCGAAAGCCUGAUCCAGCAAUGCCGCGUGUGUGAAGAAGGCCUCGGGUUUGUAAAGCACUUUAAGUUGGGAAGAAAAAGCUCUGGCUAAUAUCUAGAGCCUUGACGGUACCAACAGAAAUAAGCACCGGCUAACUCUGUGCCAGCAGCCGCGGUAAUACAGAGGGUGCUAGCGUUAAUCGGAUUUACUGGGCGUAAAGCGUGCGUAGGCGGUUUGAUAAGUCGAUUGUGAAAGCCCCGGGCUUAACCUGGGAAUUGCAGUUGAUACUGUCAGAGCUAGAAAACGGUAGAGGGAGGCGGAACUCCAGGUGUAGCGGUGAAAUGCGUAGAUAUCUGGAAGAACA